UUCCGGUUGAUCCUGCCGGAGGCCAUUGCUAUUGGGAUUCGAUUUAGCCAUGCUAGUCGUACGAGUUCAUACUCGUGGCGAAUAGCUCAGUAACACGUGGCCAAACUACCCUUCGGAGCACAAUACCCCCGGGAAACUGAGGUUAAUAGUGCAUACCACAAUCCAGCUGGAAUGAGGAUUGUGCCAAACGCUCCGGCGCCGAAGGAUGUGGCUGCGGCCGAUUAGGUAGACGGUGGGGUAACGGCCCACCGUGCCAAUAAUCGGUACGGGUCAUGAGAGUGAGAACCCGGAGACGGAAUCUGAGACAAGAUUCCGGGCCCUACGGGGCGCAGCAGGCGCGAAACCUUUACACUGCACGCCAGUGCGAUAAGGGAAUCCCAAGUGCGCAGGCAUAGAGCCUGCGCUUUUGUCCACCGUAGGGAGGUGGACGAAUAAGGGCUGGGCAAGACCGGUGCCAGCCGCCGCGGUAAUACCGGCAGCCCGAGUGAUGGCCGAUCUUAUUGGGCCUAAAGCGUCCGUAGCUGGCCGCACAAGUCCAUCGGAAAAUCCACCCGCUCAACGGGUGGGCGUCCGGUGGAAACUGUGUGGCUUGGGACCGGAAGGCGCGACGGGUACGUCCGGGGUAGGAGUGAAAUCCCGUAAUCCUGGACGGACCGCCGAUGGCGAAAGCACGUCGCGAAGACGGAUCCGACAGUGAGGGACGAAAGCCAGGGUCUCGAACCGGAUUAGAUACCCGGGUAGUCCUGGCCGUAAACAAUGUCUGUUAGGUGUGGCUCCCACUACGAGUGGGUGCUGUGCCGUAGGGAAGCCGCUAAACAGACCGCCUGGGAAGUACGUCCGCAAGGAUGAAACUCAAAGGAAUUGGCGGGGGAGCACUACAACCGGAGGAGCCUGCGGUUUAAUUGGAUUCAACGCCGG
rnacentral:rRNA from 1 species